UUCUUAUUUACCACCGGCUCAGUCAGCGCGUGUCACUUCAACGACUCGCGUGAGCGAGGCGGCGGCAGUAGCAGCAUCACAGAAAGCAGCAGCUCCGCCGCAUUAGCGAACAGAUACCAAAGACAUCCUGGUGAUGCUGAGUGACAUGGACAUCAACGCCAUCGCAGGAACGCUUAAGCUGUAUUUCAGGGAGCUGCCGGAGCCUCUUCUCACAGAUCGUCUCUACCCAGCCUUUAUGGAGGGCAUAGCUCUCUCAGACCCUGCAGCCAAGGAAAACUGCAUGAUGCAGUUUUGUGUUCAAAAACAUUUA